rnacentral:rRNA from 1 species
AACGAACGCUGGCGGCAUGCCUAACACAUGCAAGUCGAACGAGACCUUCGGUCUAGUGGCGCACGGGUGCGUAACGCGUGGAAUCUGCCCUUGGGCUCGGAAUAACAGUGAGAAAUUACUGCUAAUACCGGAUGAUGACGUAAGUCCGAAAGAUUUAUCGCCCAAGGAUGAGCCCGCGUAGGAUUAGCUAGUUGGUNAGGUAAAGGCUCACCAAGGCGACGAUCCAGCUGGUCUGAGAGGAUGAUCAGCCACACUGGGACUGAGACACGGCCCAGACUCCUACGGGAGGCAGCAGUGGGGAAUCUUGCGCAAUGGCGAAAGCCUGACGCAGCGACGCCGCGUGCGGGAAGAAGGCC